rnacentral:rRNA from 1 species
CAAACUGGAGAUGGCGACCGGCGCACGGGUGAGUAACACGUAUCCAACCUGCCCUUUACUCGGGGAUAGCCUUUCGAAAGAAAGAUUAAUACCCGAUAGCAUAAUGAUUCCGCAUGGUUUCAUUAUUAAAGGAUUCCGGUAAAGGAUGGGGAUGCGUUCCAUUAGGUUGUUGGCGGGGUAACGGCCCACCAAGCCUUCGAUGGAUAGGGGUUCUGAGAGGAAGGUCCCCCACAUUGGAACUGAGACACGGUCCAA